GAUGAACGCUGGCGGCGUGCCUAAUACAUGCAAGUCGAGCGAACAGAUGAGAAGCUUGCUUCUCUGAUGUUAGCGGCGGACGGGUGAGUAACACGUGGGUAACCUACCUAUAAGACUGGGAUAACUCCGGGAAACCGGGGCUAAUACCGGAUAAUAUUUUGAACCGCAUGGUUCAAUAGUGAAAGACGGUUUCGGCUGUCACUUAUAGAUGGACCCGCGCCGUAUUAGCUAGUUGGUAAGGUAACGGCUUACCAAGGCGACGAUACGUAGCCGACCUGGGAUGGGGAUCGGCCACACUGGAACUGAGACACGGUCCAGACUCCUACGGGAGGCAGCAGGAGGGAAUCUUCCGCAAUGGGCGAAAGCCUGACGGAGCAACGCCGCGUGAGGGAUGAAGGUCUUCGGAUCGUAAAACUCUGUUGUUAGGGAAGAACAAAUUUGUUAGUAACUGAACAAGUCUUGACGGUACCUAACCAGAAAGCCACGGCUAACUACGUGCCAGCCGCCGCCGUAA
rnacentral:rRNA from 1 species